UGGUUCUGGCAUCGAUGAAGAACGCAGCGAAAUGCGAUAAGUAGUGUGAAUUGCAGAAUUCAGUGAAUCAUCGAAUCUUUGAACGCACAUUGCGCCCUUUGGUAUUCCUUGGGGCAUGCCUGUUCGAGCGUCAUUUAACCCCUCAAGCUUCGCUUGGUGUUGGGCGUCUUGUCUUGCCUUCUGGCGUAGACUCGCCCCAAAGUCAUUGGCGGCCCGCGUACCGGCUUCGAGCGCAGCACAUUUGCGUCUUCUGCCUAUGGUCCGCGUUGGCAUCCAGCAAGUCUCCCCCCCAAUUUUGACCUCGGAUCAGGUAGGGAUACCCGCUGA
rnacentral:misc_RNA from 1 species